UCAGUGGUAUCGCACAUCACUAUUGUUUAGUGCUUGUGAACUUGAGUUGAGAACUAUAGAGAAGGAGAAUAGCGCUAAGGCUACGUAUGCGGGUCGGAGCUACUCACCGAGUUUUUCUUAAAUCCUUGUUCAAGAAAAAGGUUAUGCGUGAAGACACAAAUUGGAUUUUACUCUUCCGCUUGUUGGGAAACGCGGACACUUUUUGUUGAUGCGAUGUACCUCUGUUUUUGUGUUUUUUGUUCAUUUCCGGUUGGUUUUUUUGUUGGAGUCUAAAGUUGCGAGCCAGGAUUCCGGAUCCCCAGCUGCGAUGCAGGAAAGAUUUCCAGCCUACUUAGAAGUGACAACUGCGUUACUUCUUGACAGAUAAGCUUAUGAGAUCUCAGAACAAUACACUACCCGGGUAGUACUACUAACAUUAACACUAUACACACACACUCACACACCUGAACUGAAAAGACUGAAAAGAACUCUGAACACUGAACUCUGAACUCUAAAACUGAAUACACGGACUGACAAAUAUAGACUAUUGGAACUGUUGUGAACUGUUGGAUGAUUGUUUUUGGUUUUGUUUUGAAUAAAUGUUGACUGUUCUUUUA